GGGUUGUGAGGUUAAGCGACUAAGCGUACACGGUGGAUGCCCUGGCAGUCAGAGGCGAUGAAGGACGUGCUAAUCUGCGAUAAGCGUCGGUAAGGUGAUAUGAACCGUUAUAACCGGCGAUUUCCGAAUGGGGAAACCCAGUGUGAUUCGUCACACUAUCAUUAACUGAAUCCAUAGGUUAAUGAGGCGAACCGGGGGAACUGAAACAUCUAAGUACCCCGAGGAAAAGAAAUCAACCGAGAUUCCCCCAGUAGCGGCGAGCGAACGGGGAGCAGCCCAGAGCCUGAAUCAGUGUGUGUGUUAGUGGAAGCGUCUGGAAAGGCGUGCGAUACAGGGUGACAGCCCCGUACACAAAAAUGCACAUGCUGUGAGCUCGAUGAGUAGGGCGGGACACGUGGUAUCCUGUCUGAAUAUGGGGGGACCAUCCUCCAAGGCUAAAUACUCCUGACUGACCGAUAGUGAACCAGUACCGUGAGGGAAAGGCGAAAAGAACCCCGGCGAGGGGAGUGAAAAAGAACCUGAAACCGUGUACGUACAAGCAGUGGGAGCACGCUUAGGCGUGUGACUGCGUACCUUUUGUAUAAUGGGUCAGCGACUUAUAUUCUGUAGCAAGGUUAACCGAAUAGGGGAGCCGAAGGGAAACCGAGUCUUAACUGGGCGUUAAGUUGCAGGGUAUAGACCCGAAACCCGGUGAUCUAGCCAUGGGCAGGUUGAAGGUUGGGUAACACUAACUGGAGGACCGAACCGACUAAUGUUGAAAAAUUAGCGGAUGACUUGUGGCUGGGGGUGAAAGGCCAAUCAAACCGGGAGAUAGCUGGUUCUCCCCGAAAGCUAUUUAGGUAGCGCCUCGUGAAUUCAUCUCCGGGGGUAGAGCACUGUUUCGGCAAGGGGGUCAUCCCGACUUACCAACCCGAUGCAAACUGCGAAUACCGGAGAAUGUUAUCACGGGAGACACACGGCGGGUGCUAACGUCCGUCGUGAAGAGGGAAACAACCCAGACCGCCAGCUAAGGUCCCAAAGUCAUGGUUAAGUGGGAAACGAUGUGGGAAGGCCCAGACAGCCAGGAUGUUGGCUUAGAAGCAGCCAUCAUUUAAAGAAAGCGUAAUAGCUCACUGGUCGAGUCGGCCUGCGCGGAAGAUGUAACGGGGCUAAACCAUGCACCGAAGCUGCGGCAGCGACGCUUAUGCGUUGUUGGGUAGGGGAGCGUUCUGUAAGCCUGCGAAGGUGUGCUGUGAGGCAUGCUGGAGGUAUCAGAAGUGCGAAUGCUGACAUAAGUAACGAUAAAGCGGGUGAAAAGCCCGCUCGCCGGAAGACCAAGGGUUCCUGUCCAACGUUAAUCGGGGCAGGGUGAGUCGACCCCUAAGGCGAGGCCGAAAGGCGUAGUCGAUGGGAAACAGGUUAAUAUUCCUGUACUUGGUGUUACUGCGAAGGGGGGACGGAGAAGGCUAUGUUGGCCGGGCGACGGUUGUCCCGGUUUAAGCGUGUAGGCUGGUUUUCCAGGCAAAUCCGGAAAACUAAGGCUGAGGCGUGAUGACGAGGCACUACGGUGCUGAAGCAACAAAUGCCCUGCUUCCAGGAAAAGCCUCUAAGCAUCAGGUAACAUCAAAUCGUACCCCAAACCGACACAGGUGGUCAGGUAGAGAAUACCAAGGCGCUUGAGAGAACUCGGGUGAAGGAACUAGGCAAAAUGGUGCCGUAACUUCGGGAGAAGGCACGCUGAUAUGUAGGUGAAGCGACUUGCUCGUGGAGCUGAAAUCAGUCGAAGAUACCAGCUGGCUGCAACUGUUUAUUAAAAACACAGCACUGUGCAAACACGAAAGUGGACGUAUACGGUGUGACGCCUGCCCGGUGCCGGAAGGUUAAUUGAUGGGGUCAGCGCAAGCGAAGCUCUUGAUCGAAGCCCCGGUAAACGGCGGCCGUAACUAUAACGGUCCUAAGGUAGCGAAAUUCCUUGUCGGGUAAGUUCCGACCUGCACGAAUGGCGUAAUGAUGGCCAGGCUGUCUCCACCCGAGACUCAGUGAAAUUGAACUCGCUGUGAAGAUGCAGUGUACCCGCGGCAAGACGGAAAGACCCCGUGAACCUUUACUAUAGCUUGACACUGAACAUUGAGCCUUGAUGUGUAGGAUAGGUGGGAGGCUUGGAAGUGUGGACGCCAGUCUGCAUGGAGCCGACCUUGAAAUACCACCCUUUAAUGUUUGAUGUUCUAACGUUGACCCGUAAUCCGGGUUGCGGACAGUGUCUGGUGGGUAGUUUGACUGGGGCGGUCUCCUCCUAAAGAGUAACGGAGGAGCACGAAGGUUGGCUAAUCCUGGUCGGACAUCAGGAGGUUAGUGCAAUGGCAUAAGCCAGCUUGACUGCGAGCGUGACGGCGCGAGCAGGUGCGAAAGCAGGUCAUAGUGAUCCGGUGGUUCUGAAUGGAAGGGCCAUCGCUCAACGGAUAAAAGGUACUCCGGGGAUAACAGGCUGAUACCGCCCAAGAGUUCAUAUCGACGGCGGUGUUUGGCACCUCGAUGUCGGCUCAUCACAUCCUGGGGCUGAAGUAGGUCCCAAGGGUAUGGCUGUUCGCCAUUUAAAGUGGUACGCGAGCUGGGUUUAGAACGUCGUGAGACAGUUCGGUCCCUAUCUGCCGUGGGCGCUGGAGAACUGAGGGGGGCUGCUCCUAGUACGAGAGGACCGGAGUGGACGCAUCACUGGUGUUCGGGUUGUCAUGCCAAUGGCACUGCCCGGUAGCUAAAUGCGGAAGAGAUAAGUGCUGAAAGCAUCUAAGCACGAAACUUGCCCCGAGAUGAGUUCUCCCUGACUCCUUGAGAGUCCUGAAGGAACGUUGAAGACGACGACGUUGAUAGGCCGGGUGUGUAAGCGCAGCGAUGCGUUGAGCUAACCGGUACUAAUGAACCGUGAGGCUUAACCUUACAACGCCGAAGCUGUU
rnacentral:rRNA from 1 species